GAAAUGCGAUAAGUAAUGUGAAUUGCAGAAUUCAGUGAAUCAUCGAAUCUUUGAACGCACCUUGCGCUCCUUGGUAUUCCGAGGAGCAUGCCUGUUUGAGUGUCAUGAAAUUCUCAACCUACAAGCCUUUUCGGAGGUCCUUGUACGGCUUGGACUUGGAGGGUCAUUGUCGGCAGUGAUGUCGGCUCCUCUUAAACGCAUUAGCUAGUUCUCGCGGAACGGCUUUCGGUGUGAUAAUUGUCUACGCCGUGGUCGUGCCGGGUAUAUGGACAAGCUUCUAAACCGUCACUCCUUGUGAGGGACACAUAUCUUGACAUCUGACCUCAAAUCAGGUAGGACUACCCGCUGAACUUAA
rnacentral:rRNA from 1 species